rnacentral:rRNA from 1 species
CAAUAGCGUAUAUUAACGUUGUUGCAGUUAAAAAGCUCGUAGUUGGAUUUCUGGUGGGGGUCGCUGGUCCGCUGCGAAAGCGGCGUGUACCGAUGCGUACCUACCGCCAUCCUCGGGGGAACUGCGUGUGGGAUUAGUUUCUCGUGCGUAUGGACGCCCGUCAUUUACUGUGAAAAAAUUAGAGUGUUCAAAGCAGGCUUAGGCCGUUGAAUACAUUAGCAUGGAAUAAUAAGAUAGGACCUUGGCGGUCUAUUUUGUUGGUUUGCACGCCAAGGUAAUGAUUAAUAGGGAUAGUUGGGGGUAUUCGUAUUCAAUUGUCAGAGGUGAAAUUCUUAGAUUUAUGGAAGACGAACUACUGCGAAAGCAUUUACCAAGGAUGUUUUCAUUAA